rnacentral:rRNA from 1 species
AACGAACGCUGGCGGCAGGCUUAACACAUGCAAGUCGAGCGCCUCGCAAGAGGAGCGGCAGCCGGGUGAGUAACGCGUGGGAACGUACCCUUAUCUUCGGAAUAGCUCUGGGAAACUGGAAGUAAUACCGAAUGUGCCCUUAGGGGGAAAGAUUUAUCGGAUAAGGAUCGGCCCGCGUUGGAUUAGCUAGUUGGUGGGGUAAAGGCCUACCAAGGCGACGAUCCAUAGCUGGUCUGAGAGGAUGAUCAGCCACAUUGGGACUGAGACACGGCCCAAACUCCUACGGGAGGCAGCAGUGGGGAAUAUUGGACAAUGGGCGCAAGCCUGAUCCAGCCAUGCCGCGUGAGUGAUGAAGGCCUUAGGGUUGUAAAGCUCUUUCACCGGAGAAGAUAAUGACGGUAGCCGGAGAAGAAGCCCCGGCUAACUUCGUG